rnacentral:rRNA from 1 species
ACGGGAGGCAGCAGUGGGGAAUAUUGCACAAUGGGCGAAAGCCUGAUGCAGCGACGCCGCGUGAGUGAAGAAGUAUCUCGGUAUGUAAAGCUCUAUCAGCAGGGAAGAAAAUGACGGUACCUGACUAAGAAGCCCCGGCUAACUACGUGCCAGCAGCCGCGGUAAUACGUAGGGGGCAAGCGUUAUCCGGAUUUACUGGGUGUAAAGGGAGCGUAGGUGGCCAUGCAAGUCAGAUGUGAAAUCCCGGGGCUCAACCCCGGAGCUGCAUUUGAAACUGCGUAGCUAGAGUGCAGGAGAGGUAAGCGGAAUUCCUAGUGUAGCGGUGAAAUGCGUAGAUAUUAGGAGGAACACCAGUGGCGAAAGCGGCUUGCUGGACUGCAACUGACACUGAGGCUCGAAAGCGUGGGGAGCAAACAGGAUUAGAUACCCUGGUA